rnacentral:rRNA from 1 species
GAUGAACGCUGGCGGCGUGCCUAAUACAUGCAAGUCGAGCGAACAGACGAGGAGCUUGCUCCUCUGACGUUAGCGGCGGACGGGUGAGUAACACGUGGAUAACCUACCUAUAAGACUGGGAUAACUUCGGGAAACCGGAGCUAAUACCGGAUAAUAUAUUGAACCGCAUGGUUCAAUAGUGAAAGACGGUUUUGCUGUCACUUAUAGAUGGAUCCGCGCCGCAUUAGCUAGUUGGUAAGGUAACGGCUUACCAAGGCAACGAUGCGUAGCCGACCUGAGAGGGUGAUCGGCCACACGGGAACUGAGACACGGUCCAGACUCCUACGGGAGGCAGCAGUAGGGAAUCUUCCGCAAUGGGCGAAAGCCUGACGGAGCAACGCCGCGUGAGUGAUGAAGGUCUUCGGAUCGUAAAACCCUGUUAUUAGGGAAGAACAAAUGUGUAAGUAACUAUGCACGUCUUGACGGUACCUAAUCAGAAAGCCACGGCUAACUACGUG